GUGCUGGCUUUGGCAGUGCAUAUGCCAAAACUGAAACAAUACAGAGAAGAUUAGCAUGGCCCCUGCGCAAGGAUGACAUGUAAAUUCAUGAAGUGUUCCAUAUUUUU